rnacentral:rRNA from 1 species
AGUGAACGCUGGCGGCGUGCCUAAUACAUGCAAGUCGAGCGGCCGCACGGUAAGCUUUCUUCUUUGCUGGUGGCGACUGGCGGACGGGUGAGACAUAGAUCGCCAUCCUAUUUUACGUGGGGGACUUCGUGAAGCAGUAGCUGCUACUACAGCAUAUGUUCAACGGCAUGAUUCAAGAGUGCUUGACACUCUGCCUGUCAGUUAUAGCUGGUGUCGGAUUAGCUAGUUGGGGGGGUAAAGGCCCACCAAGGCAACGAUCCGUAGCUGGUCUGAGAGGAUGAUCAGCCACACUGGAACUGAGACACGGUCCAGACUCCUACGGGAGGCAGCAGUAGGGAAUAUUGGGCAAUGGGCGCAAGCCUGAUCCAGCCAUGCCGCGUGGGUGAUGAAGGCCUUCGGAUUGUAAAGCCCUGUUAUUAGGAAAGAAAAUCAGCAUAUGUAUCCGCCGAUAUUCUGACGGUACCCAAAGAGAAAGCACCGGCUAACUUCGUG